rnacentral:rRNA from 1 species
AUUGAACGCUGGCGGCAGGCCUAACACAUGCAAGUCUAACGAGUGGCGGACGGGUGAGUAAUGUCUGGGAAACUGCCUGAUGGCGGGGGAUCACUACUGUAAACGGUAGCUAAUACCGCAUACCAUCAGAUGUGCCCAGAUGUGUUUCGCUUGUUGGUGGGGUAACGGCUCACCAAGGCGACGCUCCCUAGCUGGUCUGAGAGGAUGACCGGCAACACUGGGACGGAGACACGGGCCAGACUCCUACGGGAGGCAGAAGGGGGGAAGAUUGCACAAUGGGCGAAAGCCUGAUGAAGCCAUGCCGCGUGUAGGAAGAAGGCCUUCGGGUUGGAAAGUACUUUCAGCGGGGAGGCGUUACCCGCAGAAGAAGCACCGGCUAACUCCGUGCCAGCAGCCGCGGUAAUAC